AGAGUUUGAUCCUGGCUCAGAACAAACGCUGAUGGCGUGCUUCAUACAUGCAAGUCGAGCGAGAAGGUAGUGCUUGCACUACCGGAGAGCGGCGAACGGGUGAGUAACACGUAAACAAUCUGCCCUUAAGUUGGGGACAACCAUUCUAACGAAUGGCUAAUACCGAAUAUUGUUAAUUUUUCGCAUGAUAAGUUAACGAAAGGCUUCGGCCGCUUAAGGAUGAGUUUGCGUCCCAUUAGCUAGUUGGCGGGGUAAUGGCCCACCAAGGCAUCGAUGGGUAGCCGGCCUGAGAGGGUGAUCGGCCACAUUGGGACUGAGAUACGGCCCAGACUCCUACGGGAGGCAGCAGUAGGGAAUUUUGCACAAUGGGGGAAACCCUGAUGCAGCAACGCCAUGUGAGGGAUGAAGCAUUUAGGUGUGUAAACCUCUGUCGACAGGGAAUAAUAACUGCUUGCAGUUUGAAUGUACCUGUAAAGGAAGCACCGGCUAACUUCGUGCCAGCAGCCGCGGUAAUACGAGGGGUGCAAGUGUUGUUCGGAAUCACUGGGCGUAAAGGGAGCGUAGGCGGAAAUUCAAGUCAGAUGUUUAAUCCCGGGGCCCAACCCCGGUCUUGCGUCUGAAACUGGGUUUCUUGAAUAGAACAGAGGUGAAUGGAAUUCCCGGUGUAGCGGUGGAAUGCGUAGAUAUCGGGAGGAACACCAGUUGCGAAGGCGAUUCACUGGGUUCAUAUUGACGCUGAGGCUCGAAAGCGUGGGGAGCGAACAGGAUUAGAUACCCUGGUAGUCCACGCUGUAAUCGAUGAAUACUAGGUGUCGGAUUGGUUAACGAUUCGGCAUUGCAAGCAAACGCGUUAAGUAUUCCGCCUGGGGAGUACGCUCGCAAGAGUGAAACUCAAAGGAAUUGACGGGGGCCCGCACAAGCGGUGGAGGAUGUGGUUUAAUUCGAAGCAACGCGAAGAACCUUACCAGGACUUGACAUGAGGGUGACCGUACGAGAAAUCGUGCUUUAUACUUCGGUAUACACCCUACACAGGUGCUGCAUGGCUGUCGUCAGCUCGUGUCGUGAGAUGUUGGGUUAAGUCCCGCAACGAGCGCAACCCUCGUCUUUAGUUGUCAUGUUACCUUCGGGUAACGACCCUCUAGAGAUACCGCCGUGAAUAACGCGGAGGAAGGUGGGGAUGAGGUCAAGUCAUCAUGGCCCUUACGUCCUGGGCUACACACGUCCUACAAUGGUCGGUACAGCGAGUAGCGAAAUCGUGAGAUGGAGCAAAUCUCCAAAGCCGGCCUCAGUUCGGAUUGCAGUCUGCAACUCGACUGCAUGAAGGUGGAAUCGCUAGUAAUCGCGGAUCAGCACGCCGCGGUGAAUACGUUCCCGGGCCUUGUACACACCGCCCGUCAAGCCAUGGAAGAAGGGAGCGCUCUAAGUCGUGAUGGUAACCCGCAAGGGAGCCUAGCGCCUAAAGUGAGACUUUUGACUGGGGCUAAGUCGUAACAAGGUA
rnacentral:rRNA from 1 species